rnacentral:lncRNA from 1 species
UUUUAUCAUCAACACACCUAUACGAACAUAAAGAUGUUUGUCAUGAAUGUCAAAUGUUAUAUUAGUGUUAAUUUAGCAUGUUUGUUUAAAUUGCUGGUCUUCAUGUCACUCUAGUCCUUGGUUUUCUCAUGCCACCGCAUAAUCAACACGAUGUCCAUCUAGUUCUUUAAUAAAUAAUAAAAGGUUUCAAAUAGAAGUAGAAACAUCUACAAAUAAAAAAUAAUUAUCAGCUCCAAAGAAAAACAACUAAUGACUUGUUCCGAAAUUAUGUUUUUAACCAUAAAAUUUAGUUAAUCAAGGAAACACGGUAGAGAGAGGUUAUGGAAGAAUAAUCUAUCUCAUAAUUCCUCGACCGUGAUAUCCUUGAUUAAAAAAAUUCCAUGGACAAAUUAAAAUCACCACUUCAUUGUGUAGUUGAAACAAGAUCUACAAAAAGAAUGUUAUUUAUCUUCUCUCUGCCCAAUUAGCAUUUUAUAGAUCCAUAAAGUUUAAGAAAGUAUCAUUUUUUGAUAUAAAUGAAUUUCAUAAAAUUAAAAUGAUAUUAUAAUUUAAAAAGGCACAAUCUUUCUUUUAAAUAUGUAAAUGUAGUAAAAUUAUAGUCAAGUAAAAAAUAAUCAUGUUUUAUUAAAAUCAUUUAAAUUUUUUAGAUUUUAAAAAAAAAUGUUUUUUAGAUACUUUAAUAUUUUUUCCAGAUUAAGUUAAAGAUUGACCAAGAAGUAAAGAAAUGGAGGUUUUGGUAAAGUAGAAAAUAAAAGGAGAUUUGUUUUUCUUUUUAACAUAAAUACUAUUUUUUUUAUGAGAAACUCCUAUUGAUUUUUAAAUCUUGUAAAGGAAUCUUUCAUUCUCAACACAAAUUCAAUAAAUAAAAUAGUAGGUAAUAACCAACUAUUGUUAAUUAUAUCACUGAGUAAGUCAUAUCGAAUUCAUUAGAGAUUAUGGCGGGUGAUAUUCAACAUGACACAUUAAGGUCUCAGAUUAAUAAUGAUUCCUAUGUUUGUAAAAACCAACUAUUGUUACAUAACAUAUGUAUACAUGUAAUAGUAUGUUGUUUAAGGAUUUAAUUCUUAAAGCAAGUUUUAUUAUAUUUCUAAAUUUCCUAAUGCAUCGAGUACUAAAGUGGACAUCUUAAAAUUUAUUCGCGACAUAUAUUUGAAUGUGUUACAUUUAUGAUAUUUUAAAUGACAAAUAUGGCGUGGUUUGUUAAAUAUUUGAAAAAUGAAACCAAACACUUAACAAGUGAAGUGUAAAAACGUAUCCUCCUGUAACAUUUGAAAUUUUUUCUUGUAUGCAUAAUCUCGAAUUUAGACUAACGACAAUUUUUAUUUCUAAUAUAAAUAAUCUCAAUUAUAAUUUUAUUUUGAAGAUUGAUGUUUAUGAUAUAAAUGCUGGCAAAUUAGAAAUAUGUCAUAUAAAAUGGCGACGACGACUAUAUUUAUUAAUUUUGUUUAUAAGAUUGGAACUUUGUCCGUUAAAGUUCCGAAGCUAAAGUCUUACCAUUUAAAACCAUAUAUAUGAUGUUUUUACCCUAAAAGAUAUAUUUGACAUUUUUUUUAUUAACUUGGUUCUCCAUAUAUUACUCAGAUGACAAUAAGAAAUACACAAAUCUAUGUCUCUAAUUAUAUUUUAUCAUCAACACACCUAUACGAACAUAAAGAUGUUUGUCAUGAAUGUCCAAAUGUUAUAUUAGUGUUAAUUUAGCAUGUUUGUUUAAAUUGCUGGUCUUCAUGUCACUCUAGUCCUUGGUUUUCUCAUGCCACCGCAUAAUCAACAGAUGUCCAUCUAGUUCUUUAUAAAUAAUAAAAGGUUUCAAAUAGAAGUAGAAACAUCUACAAAUAAAAAUAAAUUAUCAGCUCCAAAGAAAAAACAACUAAUGACUUG